rnacentral:rRNA from 1 species
GGCUCAGGAUGAACGCUGGCGGCGUGCUUAACACAUGCAAGUCGAACGAAGCACUUUUACAGAUUUCUUCGGAAUGAAGUUUAGUGACUGAGUGGCGGACGGGUGAGUAACGCGUGGGUAACCUGCCUCACACAGGGGGAUAACAGUUGGAAACGGCUGCUAAUACCGCAUAAGCGCACAGUACCGCAUGGUACAGUGUGAAAAACUCCGGUGGUGUGAGAUGGACCCGCGUCUGAUUAGCUAGUUGGCAGGGCAACGGCCUACCAAGGCGACGAUCAGUAGCCGACCUGAGAGGGUGACCGGCCACAUUGGGACUGAGACACGGCCCAAACUCCUACGGGAGGCAGCAGUGGGGAAUAUUGCACAAUGGGGGAAACCCUGAUGCAGCGACGCCGCGUGAGCGAAGAAGUAUUUCGGUAUGUAAAGCUCUAUCAGCAGGGAAGAAGAAAUGACGGUACCUGACUAAGAAGCACCGGCUAAAUACGUG